GCAUGAUUACCGCUGCACCUGUUAUUUUUGCAUUAUGGGCUUGCAGAGUGAACGAUUCACUUGUUCACUUAUUGCUUGAAAUGUGCUCAUUUAUGGUGCUUUCAUGCUUAACAUUUUACCUGACCAUGCACUAGCUGCAACUUAUACCAUCAUACAUUAAAUUGCAUGCUUAUCAUUGCUGUUUUGAAUCGAAGCAACGCAGAAUCAUUGCUGAUGGAUCUUUUUUAGGAAUCGCAUAUUUAAGUUUUAAAAAAAUGUACCCGCCGCGGCGGCCGCAUUUAGAUGGGAGCGAAAUGCAAGAAACGCCUGUGUGGCACGUUAAAGGGACACUAAAGUGAAAAAUUAUUUCUUCUGCAUCAGUAAAUUACCAUUCUACAACACCAAAAACACCACUGUUACAAUGAUAAGACGUUUUGUAAGCCAGAAAAAGCGCAAGAACGAAAUACGGGUGGCGACGCCUACUUGAGUUCCCGCACCUGGGGGCUGUGACGUCGUGGAUUUUGAUGGCAUCUUCUAGGGCCUACUAAUUAUAUAUAGCGGUACAGAUUGACUAUAUUUAGUUCUAAAGGAACCAAAUAUUAAACAUGGCAAGUUUCAGGAACCUUUAUUCAGCCAACGCGGCCCAAAUGCGAAAACAUACGUUGGAAUCCCUGACGUCAUGCUAACGUACCGGCGCUGGGGUUUCGGCGCGAAAUUCAAAUACUGAUACUUGGACCUUCAUUUUCUCAUCUAAUAAUCAAACUAUUUUUUUGAAAUCACUGCCUGCAGGGUUCUCAAACAAUGCUUCAUUAGUCUAAACUGAUUUAUUGUUUCGCUUUAGUGUCCGUUUAAAGAUCCCCUCGUGGUCAAAAUUAAUCCGGACUGCGCCACUAUGGCAUGCCUCAUAAUCAAAUCGUGGUUUUAGCGCAUAAAACCCUAGAAUACAUUCUAUAAGAGAAAAGUGACUGGAGGAGCAUGAAUGAAGUUAAUGAUUUGCUAUUUUUACUUUAACUAAUGAAAGAAAGAAAACAAAUAUACUAAGUAUGAACCCUGCUUCUAGUUCCCAACUUCUGUAAGGUAAACCAUGCGAUACAAUAUAUGCAGAUUUGGUAGCAUGAAUAUUAGCCAUAGUGGUGGCCAUGCCAUGCAGGAAAGCACUCGCUUUGCAAACUUGGAAAUGGGUAAGCACCUAUAGUAUGGUACAGGAAAAAUUUGUUUCUCCCCAUUGCAGCAAGCACCUACUUUUUUUUUUUACUGCAUUCUUUAGGGUCUAGAAGCAAUAGUUGUCAGGUUAGGUAGCAUGGACAAGCCUCCUUGUACAUUAAUAAUGUGUUAAAUCAGCUUUUCUAUUCAAGAAAUCUGGUCUAAUCUUGUGCCUUAAACUGGUGCUGGAGCUUUCAUAUGCUUUACAGUCGUCGUAUAGUUAUGCACAGGCUUGCGCGGUAUUGCACACUAAUGAAUAGAGGCAAGUGCACAGGUAUGAGAUUGCACUUCUGCCUAAGGUCGAUCUGCAAUCGAGUACAUGGCUUUGUGUGAGCGAGAACUCCAUACAAUGGAAAGGAUUGCGUCUAAAAACGUACACACAGCAGAAAAAACAAAGUAGCACUUCAUAUCAAUCUUAACACAAUAAGUAAAAGCUGAGUCAACCAAAGCGCAAAUUUUGCAUUGUUUGAUUAAAGAAGUGCUAGAAGUACUGUACACUAGUUCUAAUGAUAGCUCCUGUCGAAGUUUUAUAUUUCCUGAAUCCCCAAUGUGCAAAAAAUUUAAAUCUACUAAUUGUUCAGUUAAAACACGGGGAAAACAAGGUGUCAAGCACGUGCCAACGCACGCGUGUUAGCCGGCAUGUCAACGGCGCCUGACACGCCGGCUGAGAAAAAGAAGGGGAAAGAAAAAAAGAAGGAUACGCCAAGAAACCAAACUAAGUAUUGUUGCCUAUAGCUUGAAAUUUAGCAUAGCGGAUAGAUUAUAAAGCUCCUUUUGAAAUGUUAAUGCCUAUUUGUUGCAAUGCCUUGAACUUAUAGAUAAGGUAUGAUUCUCUGUAUUUUCUUUCUCGUUCAGAACGGAAAUUUGUAAGAUGUAGAGUUGUCAUUUCAUGCAGUUCUUGGCGUUGCUCACGAAAAAAAUUUUGAUGGCAGUCACUUUGUGCUGCUAUAAUUAGACGCCAUGUCACAGUGUCAACCUCAAAUUAAUAAAGCAAAUUAGCUUACAGUUUCUAUACAUACUGUCUUCGCAGGAGUUUGAUCUCUGUAUGAAAGCUGCAAAAUGUACUCAAACAAAGCAUAGUUUAAAAAUGUACAAGAAGCAACAUCAUUCUUGUCACUUUUUUAUAUCUUCUUUUUCUUCAAUUCCAUUAUGCUUCGCUCUAAAAUUUUGCCCUGAGAAAAACAAAUGCUUGAUCCUCAUCAGGAAAAGAGAAAAGAUGUCACUGAACCUCUUCUUCAUAACUACCGAGUUCCACAACAUGUCUACGAUUCAACUUUGUAACGCUAGUUCUGUGCAUUACACACCCUGAAAUGCAGACUGAACAUACAAGUGUCCAGGGUACUUAAUCUUCUUUCUUCUUCUAAAUUACCCCAUAAGAUAUUCUGCACAACCAACGUGGGCUUACAAUAAACUGAUUCCCCUUGACACACUGCAUACAUGUAACAUUUGCUUUAUUUUAUUAUCCUGAUCAGCUUUCAAGUCAUAGAAGGAAAAGGUGGAGAAAGACACACGCAGUCACUUCAUUGCAAGGACAGGUACAGAGACUUGCGGCCACCUGAAAAAGAAGCAUUUCUACUUCGUCUGUCACCGGUCUGGAAGUUAUGCUUCACAAGCUACAAGUAAACAAAAGCUGAAGCGGCCUUCGAGUGUCAAGUGUGGAAAAAGGUGUUUUGCGGCAAUGGCUGUGACUGAAGACAACACAGACAAGCUGCGAGAAGGCGUGUCCAUGGAUGCAGUACUGGAUAAUGUGCGGUCCAACGUGGAUGAGACAUUCCACCGCGUUAACCUGUUAAGCAAGCGGGAUCUCCGCAAAAUAAUGAGGGAUGCCAGAGUCUCGAAGACCGAGCGGCUGCACGAUAAUGACUAUGUGAGCGUGCAACUCUGGGUUGAGAGGAUGCAUAGUGAAAAGGAAAACCCAUUGCUCUUCUUUAAACACCAAGGACAACCUGACAAAAAGUGCCAUUUUUUUAGAGAAAAAAAAUGAGGACCUUUUGGAUGACAGAGAUUUUAUGCUAGUCAUCAUUACCACACCACAACAGGAGCUUUUCAAGAGGCUUGGAACUGAUCGUAUAUGUGUCGAUCGAACACGUGGAACAGCAGGUGAGCAGUACUAUAUAAAUGCAUUAAUAAUAAAAGCAAGAAAGAGGGAAUGCUGUCCGAGAAUAAUUGCAAUAGAUAUGAUGAGUAGUAUUCCUUCACACAUGAUAUUUCUCUUAAUUUUUCA